UCUCCUUCAAAAAUCACAUAGCACUCUUUUUCUUGGACAAGAAUUAAUUCACACUCACCAGUACACUUAAAAAUACACAGUGCACGUUAGAAAUAGGCUCACAAAUACUGAUCAGCAUAUGGAGAAAGAUUCCCUCAACAAUGCAUGACUCACGUCCUUAUCCACAAGGCACCUUCUGAGAAUUUGCUCUCCAAUUCACACUCUUAAGCACUCUCACUCCUCCUAUAUAAACACACACAAAAAAAGGGGACACAUUGAGAGGGGACGGGCAAAAAAGGAAGCUUUCUUCUUCUUCCUCACAAUUACAUCAAAUAAAACUUCAAAUCCCUCACCAAACUCCAGUGAAAAUAAGUCCAAAAGGCAGCAAAAACCUGCUGCAAAUAGCCCCUAAAAAUACAGCACCUUUACUCCCACAAAACGCUAUGAAAAUCAUCAUCAAACAACCAUAACUGCUGCCCCAAAAAUAGCCCUUAAAGCUCCAUGAGAACGCAGCAAAAUCAGCACCAUUAAAGCACCAAAAUGACCUCAAAUCGGCCGCCGAACCAGCUACAAAACCAGCACCAAACAGUCCCCAAAACACCAUGUAAAGCAGCCAUUAACCACCCCAAACUCCUGCUGAAAUUCAGCUCCAAACCCAGCUGAAAAACAGCCCUUCGAAACCAGCAAAGCAGCUGCGAAAAUGACUCCAUAACACAACCAUGAAACUCCUCAAAAUUCCACCUGAAACCAACGUGAAAAUCAGCUGGGAAAACUCAGCUGAAAUCUGCCAUUGAAAUGCACCAAAAUCAGCCUCCGAAACACCUCAAAUCCACCCCAAAACGCAGCCAUUAAAGCUGCUCAAAACCACUCAAAAACGAGCAAAAAGGGACCUGAAACAGUAGCUCAAAUCGCUGCUAAUUCUACCAUGAAACAGUACCAAAAUACUACCAGAAUUCCAGCCGAACAAUCCUUGGAACACAAGUUUUAAGUCGAGUUUGAGGUUGCGGAUGAGGUCGUGGUUCGUUAGCUCCGGUCGAGUCCAUCUGAAAUUCAGUAUAUCGGAGAGUUUGUAAAAGACUAGGUUUGGAGGCUCUUUGUUCUGUUUGUUCAGAUUCGUCUGAGGUUCAUUCUUCUUUACAGUUUUCGCUCCUAAUACAUUUUUUAUUGUCAGUUUUCUUCUGAUAUUUGCUGCUUUGUCCUAUUAGUUGCUUGAGUUAGUGUUUCGCUGAUUUUUUUCGCUGUGCUUUUGUGGAAAGUUCAAUGCAUUGGUUUAUCCUAUUUUUAUGAUUGUUUGGAUUAUAAUUAUAUGGGUGUAGCUUGGUGAACAAAUUAAAAAGUGUUGAUGGGUCAUGAGCUUUUAGCUUUUAUAAAAACGGGAAAGCUCUGCUUGGGACUAGCUAUUGUAAUAAAAUUAUUUCAUUAAGUGGGCAGGGGAAUUUGCUUCUCUUUCAAGGAUAAUUGGUCAUAUUGGAGAGUGGACCUUUUAAGUAUAAUUUAAUGGAGUCUAGAUAUAGCUGCUCCGUUUGCACUUAGUUUGCUGGCCCAUUCACAAAUUGGUUGGCCCAAUUAUUGUAAAUAUAUAAGAUGUUCUUUUCUUUAACUACUACAUGGGCCAACUAUCAAUGAAAUUCAUAACAUCUUCCCCACGAUUUUACUUCGAUAACUUCGUGCCUCGCAAUAAUAUCAAAGGAGAGAAUGAAUAAUAAACACCGUUAGAGUGCUUUAGGUGCACUUUUAAUUUAUUAUCGUGAUUGUGUACAUGUUCGCGUGACAUGAUUACGAUUCCCAAAAUAAAUCAAAGUACGCGUUCGCGCGACUUUGGCCAAAUAAUCUUAAUAAUAAUAAAGUAUUAUUAAUUGUGUAUACGUACGCGUGACAUGAUUUUCGCACACCAAAUAAAACAGAUUUAUACACAUGUGAUCCGUUUCCAAGAUAAAUCCAUAAAGCGCCAUAAUUAAAAGCGGUAAAAGGUAAAACGUGCAUAGGUUAUAAAAAUACUUAAUUAAACAAUUUAAUUAAGCCAGGUAUGAUUAAAAGCGACCGUGCUAAAACCACAGAACUCGGGAAUGCCUAACACCUUCUCCCGGGUUAACAGAAUUCCUUACUCGGUCUUUUAUUUUUUGCAGACUUUAAACAUAGUUAAAUUUCCUCGAUUUGGGAUUUAAAAUAAACCGGUGACUUGGGACACCAUAAAGUAUUCCAAGUGGCGACUCUAAAAUAAAAUAAAUAAUCCCAUUUCGAAACCGGUGAUUGUCAUGCCAAGACCGUGACGCUGGCUAUGCCAGGUGUGAUGUUUAUCUAGCCUUUGUGAGGGAUGUCAGUGCUGAUCCUCCUACCGUUGAGUCAGUUCCGGUAGUGAGAGACUUUCCUGAUGUAUUUUCAGUAAAUUUUCCAAGCAUGUCGCCCGAUAGGGAUAUCGAUUUUGGUAUUGACUUGUUGCUGGAUACUCAGCUCAUUUCUAUUCCAUCAUAUCGUAUGGCCCCAGCGGAGCUGAAGGAGCUAAAGGAGCAGUUGCAAGAGUUACUUGAUAAGGGAUUCAUUCAGCCUAGUGUGUUGCCGUUGGGUGCUCCGGUCUUGUUUGUGAAGAAGAAGGAUGGUUCUAUACUCAUGUGCAUUGAUUAUCGUCAGUUGGACAAGGUUACAGUGAAGAAUAAGUAUCCAUUGCCACGUAUUGAUGACCUAUUUGAUAAGCUACAGGGUGCAAGGGUAUUCUCCAAGAUUGAUUUGCGGUCAGGUUAUCAUCAGCUGAAGAUUCAGGAUCCAGAUAUUCCAGAGACUGCCUUUAGGACUCGGUAUGGUCACUACGAGUUCCUCGUGAUGUCGUUUGGGCUGACCAAUACCCCACCAACAUUUAUGCACCUGAUGAAUAGUAUAUUCCAGCCUUAUCUUGAUUCAUUUGUCAUUGUGUUUAUUAACGACAUCUUGGUGUACUCCCGCAGCCGGGAAGAUCAUGAGCAACACUUGAGGAUCGUGCUCCAGACCUAGGUCAUGUGGUGUCGAGUGAAGGGAUCAAGGUAGAUUCGAAGAAUAUUGAAGCAAUGCAGAUUUGGACUAGACCAUCUUCAGCUAUAUAGAUCCGGAGUUUUCUUGGUUUGGCCGGGUAUUAUCUUCGUUUCGUAGAGGGUUGCUCAUUUAUUGCUGCACCUAUGACGAGAUUGACCCAGAAGGGUGCUCCUUUCAGAUGGACUGAGGAGUGUGAGGCGAGUUUUCAAAAGCUCAAGACUGCUUUGACUACAACCCAAUGUUAGUGUUGCCUACGGGCUCCGGAUCCUAUACUGUGUAUUGUAAUGCGUCACAUGCUGGCCUUGGCGCGGUGUUAAUGCGAGACGGUAGGGUGAUUGCCUACACAUGUCGACAUGUGAAGACCCAUGAGAAGAAUUGCCCAGUCCGCGACUUGGAGUUGGAAGCCAUUGUUCAUGCAUUGAAGAUCUAUAUGCAUUAUUUGUACGGUGUCCAUUGCGAGGUCUUUACCUACCACCGGAGUUUGCACCAUCUAUUCAAAUAGAAAGAUCUUAACUUGCGGCAUCGAAGGUGGUUAGAGUUACUUAAGGACUAUUAAAUCACCAUUCUAUAUCAUCCCGGGAAGGCUAAUAUGGUGUCCGAUGCCUUGAGUCGAAAGACGGAGAGUUUGGGUAGUUUAGCAUAUCUACCGGUAGCAGAGAGGCCAUUAGCAUUGGAGGUUCAGGCCUUAGCCAACCAGUUUAUUAGAUUGGAUGUUUCGGAUCCUAGUCGAGUCCUUGCCUGGGUGGUUUCUCAUUCUUCUCUAUAUGUCCGUAUUAGAGAGUAUCAGUAUGACGACCCCACUUGCUUGUCCUCAAGGACACGGUUCAGCAUGGCGAUGCCAAGGAGGUUACUAUUAAGGAUGACAGUGUAUUACGGAUACAGGGCUGGUUAUGUGUGCCCAAUGUGGAUGGUUUGCGUGAGUUGAUUCUUCAGGAGGCCUACAGUUCACGGUACUUCAUUCAUCCGGGUGCCGUUAAGAUAUAUCAGGACUUGAGGCAACACUAUUGGUGGAGGAGGAUGAAGAAGGACAUAGUGAAGUAUAUAGCUCGGUGCCUAAAUUAUUAGCAGGUGAAGUAUGAGCAAUAACGACCGGGUGAUUUGCUUCAGCGGCUUGAGAUUCCUGAGUGGAAUGGGAGCGUGUCACCAUGGACUUCGUUGUUAGACUUCCAUGGACUUAGAAGAAGUUUGACGCGGUAUGGAUGAUUGUGGGCAAGUUGACCAAGUCGGCUCAUUUCAUUCCGGUAGUGACUACCUAUUCUUUAGAGUAGCUGGCUCAGAUCUACAUUCACGAGAUUGUUCGACUUCAUGGCAUACCAGUAUCCAUCAUUUCUAACCGGGGUACACAGUUCACAUCGCAUUUCUGGAAAGCUGUACAGUGUGAGCUAGGCACAUGGGUUGAGUUGAGUACAACAUUUCAUCAUCAGGCAGACAGACAUUCCGAGCGCACUGUUUAGAUAUUGGAUGAUAUGGUCAGCGCCUGUGUUAUGGAUUUUAGGGGUGCUUGGGAUCAGUUCUUGCCACUUGCGGAGUUUGCCUACAACAACAGCUACCAGUCGAGUAUUCAGAUGGCUCCGUAGGAGGCUCUAUAUGGGAGACGAUGCCGUUCUCCAGUUGGGUGGUUUGAGCCAGAAAAGGCUAAAUUAUUAGGCAUGGAUCUGGUUUGAGAUGCUUUGGAGAAGGUCAAGAUGAUCCAGGAUUGGUUUUGUACAACCCAAUCUAGAUAGAAUAGUUAUGCAGAUCGGAAGGUUCGCGAUGUUGAAUUCAUGGUUGGAAAGUGAGUCUUGCUCCGGGUUUCACCCAUGAAGGGUGUGGUGAGGUUCGGAAAUAAGGGCACGUUGAGCCCUAGGUAUAUCGGACAUUUUGAGAUUCUUGAGAGGACUGGAGAGGUGGCCUACAAGCUUGACUUGCCACCUAGUUUAUCUGCGGUUCAUCCGAUGUUCCAUGUAUCUAUGCUCCAGAAGUAUUAUGGUGAUCCGUCUCAUGUUUUAGACUUUAGCACAGUCCAAUUGGAUGAGGAUUUGACUUAUAUUGAGGAGCUAGUGGUGAUCUUGGACAGACAUGUCUGGAAGUUGAGAUCAAAGGAUAUUGCUUUAGUGAAGGUUCAAUAGAGAGGUCAUGCAGUCGAGGAAGUGACCUGGGAGACCGAGCACAACAUGUAGAGUCGUUAUCCUCAUCUAUUCACCGCUUUAGGUAUGUCCUUAUGCACGUUCGAGGACGUUUUCAUGCUUCACACAUGUGUGUUUAUGCUUUUAUGACUUGCGGGGUUGGUUAGUUUCGUUCCGCGAAGUUUUCAGGUUGAUUUGGAUCCUUGAUUCUUGACUUAGAAGUUUAAAUUUGAAAUUGUUGACCAAACUUUGACUUUUCUGAAAACGAUACCGGAAUUAUGUUUUUAUGACUCCGAUAACUUCGUAUUGUGAUUUCGGACUUGGGCGUAGAUUUUGGAAGUCCGUAGGUUGAUUUGUGUUGAUUUGUCGAAAUUUGGCAAUUAAAAGUUGAAAAGCUUGACCAUAGGUUGACUUUUAGCUAUCGAGCCCAGAAUUUAAUUUUGGGACUUGGAAUAGGUCCGGUAUGGUAUUUAGAACUUGUCUGCAAAAUUUGGUUUCGUUUGGAGUUGUUUUGAUAUAAUUCAGACGCUUAGUUGUAAUUCUAGAAGUUCUUGAAAAUUUCUUUGAACAUCAUGCGUUUUAGUGUUUGAUUCGUAGUUUUAGAUGUUAUUUUUGAAUUUUUAUCGUGCGAGUGAGUUCGUAUGAUAUUUUUAUACUUGUGUGGAUGUUUGGUUUGGAGCCCUGAGGGCUCGGAUGAGUUUCAGACAUGUUUUAGAGUCCUUUGGACUGAAAAUGGCAAGCAUUUGGUGUCUGGUGCUCUGGUGUCGCAAAUGCAAACACCAAGUUCUCAUUUGCAAAGGCGACAGGUGAGUGGCAGUUGUCGUAAAUGUUACCUCCCCUUCGCAUUUGCGAAGCUAUCAGAAAUUGGAUAGUGUUUGCAAUUGCGAACAAUUGUUCGCCUUUGCGAUAUUUCCCAGUUCGCAAUUGCGAAGACUUAAUCGCAAUUGCGAUGUAUGCUGAGUCUGUGAGGGUUCGCAAAUACGAGCCCUGAUAUGCAAUUGCGAGGGUUCACAAAUGCGAACCCUAUGUCGCAAAUUCGACAUCUCCCGCUGGUUAAAGGGCUGGGACACAGUAUUUUUGAACUCAUUCUCACAUUUUUGAACCCUAGACUCGGUAGGAGGCGAUUUGGAGAGAGAGUUUUCACCUACAAACCCUGAGUAGGUGAUUUUAAUCUAUUUCUAAUCAUAUUCCAUCAAUAUAUCUUAGAUUUUAACAUCAAAAUCCUAUGAAUCAAAGUGAAAAUUUGUGAAACUUUGUUAGGUUUUUGAAAAAUAAGAAAUUAAGUUUUGAGAGUCGAUUUGGACUCGGAUUUUGAAACUAAUCACAUAUAUGAACUCGUGAGGUCAUGGGUAGACGAAAUCUGCCAUUGGACUCGAGUUUUGACCGGGCGGGCCCUGGGUUGACCUUUGUUGACUUUUUGGGAAAAGUGUAAAGAUCUUAACUUUAUCUAUUGCAAUUGAAUUCUGUAGCAUUGUUUGAUGAUAUUGAGUCGAUUUUAUUUAGAUUUGAGCCGUGCGGAGGCGAACUUUAAGGGAAAAGCUAUUUUCGAGUGUUGAAUUAGCCUAGUUGAGGUAAGUGUCUUGCCUAAAUUUGUGUGGGAGAAACUACACCUUAUAAUUGGUAUUAUUUGCUUUUAUUGUGCUAAGUGAAAUCCGUGUACGCAAAGUGAUGAGUGGGUACACGGGUUGUACGUGGUAUUUGACCGGUUUAGGCUACUUAGACUAUUUUCAUGCUUUAAUCGAAAUGCCAUAUCAUGUUCUAAAUUCUCAUAGUCAAUUUAUCCUUAAUUGUGUUAGACUAUCCUUACAUGCCUUAAUUGACUUGUUUAGAACUUGUUCUACAUCCUACUUGCUAAAUUGCUCCCAUGCUUUAGUUGAACUUGUUGCCUCUUUUAUUGGUACAUUCUAUCUCUUCAUUGUUAAUCAUCAUUAUUUGGAAUUAUUGUUCGUGUUAUCUCUUUCCUUAUUGAUUUUUCGUUACUUGAAGUAAUUGUUCAUGUUAUCCCUUUACUUGUUGAUUUCCAUUAUUUGAGACUCAUUGUGAAAUAUUAUCUCUUUUAUUGUGAGUUAGUCUUAUCUAAUACCGUGGUUAUACAUUAUUUCACUCAUUGUUAAGUUAUUUGGUUUUGAAGUUGUGAAAGUCGUUAAUACGUUGAGGCGAUGUUGGUUAUUGUUGAAACAUCUAUCUUAUUGAGCAUUUUUUCAUUCAUUCAUUGUUGUUGAUAUUCUUGUAUACAUUGUGGUGGAUCCAUGGGCUAUUGUUGUGGAAUCAUUGGUAUUGUUGUGGUUUCUAGCAAGUUGUGAUAUAUGGGCACUUGUGGUGCAAAUUGUUAUUGUGAUAUGAUAUUGACGCGCAUGUGACGGUAUAAGGUUUGGGGUUAAUGUGCAUCCGAUGGUAUAAGGUGGGACUUAUGUGUGUGUGUUGCUUGUAGGGGAGCUACGUGAAGCCAUGUGGCAUCAUAAGGUGGGCUAAAGUGCGUGCAACUAUUUGGGGAAAACUGUUUUCAAAAACCUAUUUCAAAUGUAAGGCUCACGCGACGGUAUAAGGAAAGAUUGUAAUUGAAAUUGAGUAAUGUGAAUACGAGGCAGUACCUCAGUUGUGAUUCUUGAUUAUACGAGGCGGUACCUUGGUUUUAAUUUUAUUAUACCCCAGGCGGUACCUCGUUGUGAUUCUUGCUGUUUAUUUCAUGUUGCAAAGUGUUUUGGUGGGAAUAUUUUUUGUUGUUUCAUUCUUUUAUUAUUCUAGGAGUUGUUGUCUGUACAUGAUCAUUGUAGCCCCUUUAGUUGCUUCUUUUAUGCUGUUUCCAUUGUUGAUUUCCAGUAGUAGUUCAUGCUAUUAUCUUGUUUCGUAUCACUUGUUUCUUCACUUUCCAUUACAUAUACGUAUUACAUUUUUAUACUAUUUAUUUAUAUCCUAGUAUGUGUCUUGACCUGACCUCGUCACUACUCUACUGAGGUUAGGUUUGAUACUUACUGGAUACCGUUGUGUUGUACUCAUACUACGCUUCUGCAUAUUUUUUUGUGCUGAUCCAGGUGCAUCUGCUCGUGCCGGUCGUUAGAGAUUACCUACUAGCUUCCUUUUUUGGAGACUUCAAGGUAUGCCUGCUCGCCAUCCGCAGGCCUCAGAGUCACCUUCCCUUAUUCUCAGUUACUGCUGUAUUUUCUCUCAAACAAUGAUGUAUCAGAUAUUUUAGUUUAUUCAAUAGUGCUUAUGACUCUGUUCCACAGUUCUUAGGGAUUGUAUGGUUGAGAUUUUGCUUUUCAGAAGUUUUAUGAGUUUAUCAAACUGGGUUUAAGUAUUUUGUUAUAUACAAUUGUUCAAUUGUUAUCAAAUAUUAGGCUUACCUAGUCAUAGAGACUAGGUGCCAUCACG
rnacentral:lncRNA from 1 species